GCCUCUGUAGCUCAGUUGGUUAGAGCGCUGCACCGGAAUCGCAGGGCCGUAGGUUCAAUUCCUACCAGAGGAU
rnacentral:tRNA from 1 species